GUAGUCCACGCCGUAAACGGUGGGUACUAGGUGUGGGUUUCCUUCCUUGGGAUCCGUGCCGUAGCUAACGCAUUAAGUACCCCGCCUGGGGAGUACGGCCGCAAGGCUAAAACUCAAAGAAAUUGACGGGGGCCCGCACAAGCGGCGGAGCAUGUGGAUUAAUUCGAUGCAACGCGAAGAACCUUACCUGGGUUUGACAUGCACAGGACGCUGGCAGAGAUGUCGGUUCCCUUGUGGCCUGUGUGCAGGUGGUGCAUGGCUGUCGUCAGCUCGUGUCGUGAGAUGUUGGGUUAAGUCCCGCAACGAGCGCAACCCUUGUCCUAUGUUGCCAGCGGGUUAUGCCGGGGACUCGUAGGAGACUGCCGGGGUCAACUCGGAGGAAGGUGGGGAUGACGUCAAGUCAUCAUGCCCCUUAUGUCCAGGGCUUCACACAUGCUACAAUGGCCGGUACAAAGGGCUGCGAUGCCGUGAGGUGGAGCGAAUCCUUUAAAGCCGGUCUCAGUUCGGAUCGGGGUCUGCAACUCGACCCCGUGAAGCCGGAGUCGCUAGUAAUCGCAGAUCAGCAACGCUGCGGUGAAUA
rnacentral:rRNA from 1 species